CAAGUGCCCAUGCCCCAGGCGGUAGCGAUUAUCCCCUCUUGCAACUUCGAUUAGGGACCAAAUUGCAAACUCUUUUUUUAUCUGGGGUCCUUUAUGCAAAAUUCUGGACUUAGAUGUCAUUUAUACUUUUGUUUGGGUCCAUGUAAAACUUGUGUUUUAUCUGGUUAUAUUUAAUAUAAACGUUGGGUCCUUCGGGGUCCUUCCCUGUUCAAAAAAA
rnacentral:lncRNA from 1 species